AUGAACUACCGCUUUCAGAACCUGCUGGGCGCGCCGUACCGCGGCGGCGACGCCGUCUUCGCGGGGGACUCCUCGGUGCUCCUCUCCGCGGUGGGGAACCGCGUGGCGACCACCGACCUCGCCGCCUCCACCUCCCUCACCCUCCCCUUCGAGUCCUCCGCCAACAUCGCCCGCCUCGCCACCUCCCCCUCGGGCGACUUCCUCCUCGCCUGCGACGACAAGGGCCGCGCGCUCUACGCCAACCUCCACCGCCGCGCCGUCCUCCACCGCGUCUCCUUCAAGGCCGCCCCCUCCGCCGUCCGCUUCAGCCCCGACGGCGAGCUCAUCGCCGUCGCCGUCGGGAAGCUCGUCCAGAUCUGGCGCUCCCCCUCCUUCCGCAAGGAGUUCUUCCCCUUCCACCUCCUCCGCACCUUCCCCGGCUUCGCCGCCGGGGUCACCUCCUUCGACUGGUCCCCUGACUCCGCCUCCCUCCUCGUCGCCUGCAAGGACCUCACCGCCCGCCUCUUGCCCGUCAAGCGGGGCACCGGGAACAAGCCCUUUCUCUUCCUCGGCCAUCGCGCGGCUGUCGUCGGCGCCUUCUUCGCCACCGAUAAGAAGACUGGCAAAGUCCACGGGGUCUACACGGUUUCAAAGGACGGAGCUAUCUUUACAUGGAAUUUGGUGGAGGGCAAUGAUGCUGCAUCUCCACCUUCACCCGGGACACCGGAGCAGGAAUCAGAACAGAAUGGUGAGCCGGAAUUGGAUGCUGGGAGCAGGAAGAGGAAGAGUUUGGGAGAGCUGGAAGAGCCCAGCACUACUCCACUUCAUUUGGCAAAGUGGGAGUUGCAAAAAAAGAAUUUCUUCAUGCAGGCACCUGCUAAGUUGACAGCCUGUGAUUACCACCGGGAUCUUGACAUGGUGGUGGUUGGGUUUUCUAACGGGGUAUUUGGGCUGUACCAGAUGCCGGACUUUGUGUGCCACUGCCAGUUGUCAAUAUCAAGGGAGAAGAUCACUACUGCUAUUUUCAACAGCUUGGGGAAUUGGCUAGUUUUUGGGUGUGCCAAGCUUGGGCAACUGCUGGUGUGGGAGUGGCGGUCAGAGACCUACAUUUUGAAGCAGCAGGGUCACUACUUUGAUGUGAACUGCAUUGCAUACUCACCAGAUUCUCAGUUAAUUGCUACUGGAGCUGAUGAUAACAAAGUCAAGGUCUGGACGGCUGCCACUGGGUUCUGUUUCAUAACAUUUUCCGAGCAUACAAAUGCUGUUACUGCAGUUCAUUUUAUGGCCAAUAACCAUUCUCUUCUCAGUGCCUCCCUUGAUGGGACUAUUCGAGCGUGGGAUCUGUUUCGUUAUCGUAACUUCAAGACAUUUACGACCCCUUCACCUAGACAAUUCGUUUCUUUAACGGCAGAUCAGAGUGGGGAAGUAAUUUGUGCUGGAACACUUGAUUCAUUUGAGAUUUAUGUUUGGUCAAUGAAGACUGGUCGUUUGUUGGAUGUACUCAGUGGCCACCAAGGACCAGUUCAUGGUCUAAUGUUUUCACCAAUCAGUGCUAUUUUGGCUUCAUCAUCGUGGGACAAGACCGUUCGUCUUUGGGAUGUAUUUGAGAGCAAGGGCGCUGUGGAAACGUUUCAACACUCACAUGAUGUUCUUACCUUGGCUUAUCGUCCUGACGGAAGGCAGAUUGCAUGCAGCACACUAGAUGGCCUAAUCAAUUUCUGGGAUCCUUUUGAUGGCUUAUUGAUGUAUACAAUUGAAGGUUGCAGGGAUAUUUCUGGUGGGCGCCUCAUGACAGAUAGAAGAUCCGCAGCUAAUACAAGUAUAGGAAAGUACUUCACGACGCUGUGCUAUUCUGCUGAUGGAAGCUAUAUUUUAGCAGGAGGAAACAGCAAAUAUAUAUGCAUGUACAAUAUUGGAGAACAGGUGCUGUUGCGUAGAUUCCAGAUCACUCGCAAUCUUUCAUUGGAUGGAGUUCUCGAUUUUCUGAACUCAAAAAAUAUGACCGAUGCUGGUCCACUAGAUCUAAUCGACGACGAAGAUAGUGAUGUUGAGGAUGGAAUUGAUCAACAAACAAGAGGUAGCCUGGGGCAUGGUUUACCUGGAUCCAUGGCAAAUCGUGGAAGGCCCAUAGCUCGGACAAAAUGUGUGAAAUUUGCUCCAACAGGAAGAUCUUUUGCUGCAGCGACCACUGAUGGUGUUCUGUUGUACUCGGUUGAUGAAUCAUUUAUUUUUGAUCCAACAGAUCUUGACAUUGAUGUUACUCCUGAGAAAGUGGAGGAAGCUCUUGCAGAAAACCAACAACAGAGAGCCCUUUUACUGAGCCUCCGGUUAAACGAAGACUCCUUGAUUAAGAGAUGCAUCUUCGCUGUGGAUCCAUCCAAUGUACGAGCAAUCUGCUCAUCAGUUCCCUUUAAGUAUCUUCAGAGAUUGAUCGAUGCAUUCGCUGACCUCCUGGAAAGCUGUCCCCAUCUGGAGUUCAUCCUGCUCUGGGCUCAGGAGCUUUGCAAGGUUGAUGGAAGCUACAUCCAGCAGAACUCCAGGACCUUGCUUCCUGCUCUCAAGUCGUUGCAGAAGUCUAUAACGAAACUACACCAGGAUCUGGCGGACACCUGUUCCUCCAAUGAGUACAUGCUCAAAUAUCUGAGCUCUGCUGGGACAAAGAGUUAG
rnacentral:rRNA from 1 species